CCUAGGGAUUGGCCAGUGAACUCUUGUGCCUUAGAACCAGUGAGGUUGGACACAAGAAGUUCUGGAUCACGGCCUAAACUGGUGCGGCAACUCCACAAGACUUUGCGCACUCAACAACUCAGCUUCACCUCUUCAUGGAACUGGUUUGAGGUCUCCCCCUCUCAACUGACUUCACAGUCUUCUUAGAGAAGCUAGGACACGACCAGAUCAUCUUCACAACACUAGUGAGGCUGAUCAAGAUUUCACACACGGCUUGCCCUCUUCAUAGAACUGGUUUGGAUCUCCCCCUCUCAACAGACUUCUCAGCCAUCUUAGAGAAGCUAGGAACUGACCAGGAACAUCUUUAGUGAGGCUCAAGCAAUGGUACCUGAUACAUUAUCCCAAAGGUGCAUCAGUACCUAUCAAAAACAAGAAAAUGAAUAUCCUGCAUCACACUUGAUGCACACAAUCUCACAAUUCAAUCAUAAUCAUCUUAAGUAUCUUUUCAAGCACAAGCAAUGAAUAAGAUGAAUGAAAAAGAUUGAAAAGAGUUUUAAAAGUCUAAGGGAACUUCCCUUGUGUUUUUGUGAGUUUCCAAACUCUCUCAAUGCACCAUCUUCAUGGCAUCAUCAACUUCUUGGAAAGGCAGAAUGGAUUCAUCAGCUUCUCCUCAAUCACCUCUCAUUGAAGCUGCAUUGAUGGAGAGCCUUCUUCCUCACUUGCCAAGGCUGCUCUGAACAGCCUCUUGCCUAGACACGCCACUGACUUGGUCCGGUUGAUGAUCCUUGUAGAAGCCUUUGCACCGACUUGUUACUGACCAUGGAUCAUAUGCAUUAAGACUCCCCCUCAAGCUUAGAACCUAGACUAGAAGGAGCUAAGCUUGUGAUGAUCCUAAGCAUCUCCAUGGUCUAAUAACUAUCAUCUUUUUAUGAUAGCUUUCUUCUUGUGAGUUUACUCUCUUCCUUAACCAGGAACUAGGGUGUUUGAAUCACCAUAGAGAGUCUCACAAGACACACCUCUCAUUGCAUAAUGACCCAUGCUACACUUCCUGUAGACUAAGGACUAGAUAUGUCCAAUGGUAUUAUGCAAUGGCUAUCUCUCAUUGCAUACUCAAUCACACUACACUUCCUGUAGAUUAUGGACUAACAUGUCCUAGUGAUGAUAUGCAAUGGCACAAGACCUUUGUCUCUACAUUCUUGGUUGAUGGCGAGUUACAUGUAUCACUUCCCUUGUGUACCUAACACCACCAAAACUCAAUGCAAGAUCAGAUCAUCCCAUUGGGAUCAAACCAAGAUCAUCCAUCCUGUUUGAUCACCAAUGCCACAAUAAUAUAUGAUACUUGAAACAAGCUAGACAAUCAAGACAAUCUAGCAAAGACAAUCAAUUCAGUUUUUUUUUUUUUUAAAUGCAACAAUAGAUGAAUGCAUUAGGUUACACUAACUAUAUGAAUGAAACAGAUUCAAUUCAAAAUGGAACACAAGUCUAGAUGAUACUUCUGCAAUUAAGGCGACAAGAGUGACACAAUUCAUGCAUAUGCUCACUAGUUUUAUCAAGGCCAAUGAUUCAAGUAGCUUAGACAUACUUCUAAAUGCUUAUAAGACAUCACUGAUGGAUUUAACUAUGGCAUAGCAACAAUCAGAACUGGAUUGAGUCGAGACAAGCAGAUUUAAAUUUCUAACAAUGACAAUGCAAGUUCUAUACAGUUCUCUAAAUGCAAAGCUUAUAUCAAGUCAUUUGCAAUUUAGGCUCAUUUUUAAAUGCAUUACUACAUGAAUGCACAAUCUUAAAGCAUUAGCUAUAUGAAUGCAACGGGUUCAAUCCAUGAGUAAUAUUAAAGCUCUGCACAACAGUUUCAAUCAGAACCAAUGAUGCAAGCAACUUAGACAAUUUCUAAUUGAUGCAAGACUUUCAUUGGUGGAUUAAACAUAGGCAAUAGCAUCAGAUAACACUAGGAUUGAACUUAGACAGUAUGAGAUAUGCUUAUGUAUGCAAAAGACCUUAUCAAUCAUGAUGUAAGCAGCAGAGACAUUCUACUCAAUUCUACAACACAUCCAUGAUGAUUCAAGCUAUGACAACACUCAAGACAAUGCAAUAAACAAAACAUGAGAUUCUGGGACUCUAGACACCACUCACAGCACAAUAAAUAAAGACACAAGCUCUUAUUAAGGGUUAAGAGGUUUGCUUACAAACAAGAGAUCCGAGCUGAUCUCUUGAACUUCCAUGGGCACGGUUCACUUGAACUUGGCAUGAACUUGAUACUUGGAUUCAGUAUCCAACACCUUUCCUUGGUGUGCCCAUCCCUCUUGCAAUGCUCACUCUCCAAGGCUUCACUCUUCGGCUGGAUCACUCCAUGAUCAGCUUGCAAUGGUCUUGGUUUACAUUGCAUCACCCUCCUGGUGAUGCUCUUUCUUUGCAUGUCGACUGUCCUCUCUACACUCAUCUGAUGCGUAGGCUAUGGUGACUAAACCACCAUGGACAGAACCAUAAGUCAUCUCUCCAUUGUCACAACAUCCUCUCUACCCUCUUUGGAGCAGGCUGUGGACUUCCCACAGAAUGUUGGCAACAGGCUUCAUUUUACCAUUCUAUUGUAAUGAUAAGGAGGAACUUCAAGACCAGGAGCACAUCACCCUAACAGCUGCGCUUAAAUCACUGAUCCAUCCUUUUGCUUUAAGCUUCAAGUACUCUCAGAUCACCGGCCUUCCUCAUGGCAUAGGUGGUGACCUUCUUCUUCUUGUGUGCCUUGAACCAGGAGCUCAACAACCUCGUGGCCUGCGCUUCUUAAACCGGCUUCUACACACAAGAACCUUCCCAUUGCUCCACACAAUGGUUGGUCUUCCGCUUGUAUGUCUUGAACCAGGAGCUCAACAACCUCGUGGCCUGCGCUUCUUAAACCAGCUUCUACACACAAGUAUCUUCCCAUUGCUCCACACAAUGGUUCAAGUCUUCCUCUUUUCUUGGAUAGGUGGUGAGCAGAGGACACUUCUUGUGAACCUGAAACACCACUCAAACUCCAGAAAGGAUAAGACACAAGAGUAUUGGGAUCAAUCCUUGAUUAAUCAUCAGGUUUGAUUCCCAAUCUCACAAGCAAUGCAACAGAUAGACACAAGGCAUUAUCAAGUUCUAUUCUUUGCAAGCUAGCUCUCUAAGAACAAGCAAGAUCCUAACAGAUUCAAGACAGGUUACUUAGGCACUUUUAAAAGCUUCUUUACUCAGCACUUUAGACAUGAAUCUAAUGCUUCAAUGUAAGAUAGCCACAAGACUAUAUGCAACAGCUUUAAAAUUCAGUUUCAAUUCAUGUAUGCAAGCAGAUUCAGUUAAUCACUCUAAGCAUCACUAUGAAACGAAGCUAAGCAUAUUAAUCACAUUCAGUCACCAAACAAAGCUCUUAAAGUAUCCUGGGACAGAUUCUAAACAUUUUAAUUUAUCAAUCUUUAACAGUCCUCAGGUUUUCAAUCACAUCACACAUUACAACCAGUCAACAACACAAGCUCAUUAUCAAGAGGGUUUUAAAAUCGCUUACACAAGGAACCAGGUUGGUUCCUUAAACCUCCAAGGGGACUGGCCAUGGCUUUUGUUGAAUCUGAGAGUCUGGAUAGUCACCCACCUCCUACUCCUUCAGUUCAUGACCACCUUCUUGUUUCUCCAGCUCAAAGACUCCUCCUUUCUCCAAGUCUUCUAGGCGCCAUCACCUUGACAGCUUUCAUGAUGAACCGGGUGAAGAAAGCUCUUGGAGGAGGCGCCUUGGAUGAGGUUCGUGAGUCCUCUCCAUACACUUCUGCUUCCAAUGAGUCUCUCCAUCAGUAUAGACAGGAGAAAGGAUGAGAGACACGCCCUUCAGUCUUCUUCUCAUGGAGAAACUGAACUCGGAUGGGAAUGUCUUCAAGGAUUGGAUUUGAGCUGAGGGUAGAGCUUGUGUUGUGCGGAAGCUACAGCUCAGGUUCUGAUGAACCUGGCUCUGAUACCAUAUGAUUUUUAAAGAGAUCUCUACUCUGGUAGUAUGUGUGUGUGUAUAAGCUUCAAUGAAGAAUGAUUAGAGCUUGUUCUAGGUGAUUUAGGAAGAGAGAUUUGUGAGAGUGUAUAAGAGACUUAAGAACAGAGAGAUUAAGAGACUUAAGAGACUAGAGAGACUGAGAGAAUAAGAGACUGAAGAUUAGUGUUUCAGAUUAGAGAAGGAGAGGGGAAACCCCCUAACUCACUUAAUCUCUUACAAUCGCCAAUCCUUGGCUUAUAUAUGUCUCUACACUUUGCAAUAUCAUAAACCUAUAUCCUAGGGCUGAUAUUAACUUGAAUGAUGGACGGCCUGGAUGAGAUAAGGCUGGUCUUUGGUCUUGGCAGCUUGUCUUGUAAUUGGUUGAUUCAAACUGAGGCAACAGGAGACUGAAGGCGCCAAUGUAUCUUGCUCCUUAUGUGACCAGAUACAUGCUUCUCCUUUUGCCUUUACCUUUUGCUUUUGCUUUCACUUUACAGCUUGCUCCUUAUCUAUACAAGAUGCUCAGCAUAUUCCUUCCCUCCAUAAGCCUUCAACGGCCUUGGUAAUUCAAACCUGCCGCGCCCACACAUUGCACAACUUGAUCAAGACUGAUCCGAGUGAUGGCUGGACCGGAUGGGAUGUACGGACGCUGUACGGCCUUGAGGUCCGUACACUCGUCCUAUGCCUUCAUCCAACUUCCUUCUAUGGUUAACCCUUACACCUUCUUGGAUCACCCUAGGCCGUACCAUGGCCGUACCGAACGCCCUAUCUUUGCACCAUACUUCCAUCUUCUCUUUAACUCCUCCAAAGCCUCCACAUGAUCAGUCUAAGUCUUUCCUAGACUUAACUUCACAAGAUAACUCCUUCAGAACACUUCUGAAGCUUGGUUGAACUCUUCUAGACAUCUUCUAGAGCUUGCCCUAUUCUUGUACAAGCUCCAUCUUCUCUUCAGUUCAACACUCCCCCUCAAGCUUGAAACUCUGAAGAGUCUCCCUCAUUAAAAACCUUACAAGGAAAACCCAUUGGGACAAAACCUUGCAAGGGAAAAAGAGUAGAGCUCUCCAAAGCCUAGGGAUUGGCCAGUGAACUCUUGUGCCUUAGAACCAGUGAGGUUGGACACAAGAAGUUCUGGAUCACGGCCUAAACUGGUGCGGCAACUCCACAAGACUUUGCGCACUCAACAACUCAGCUUCACCUCUUCAUGGAACUGGUUUGAGGUCUCCCCCUCUCAACUGACUUCACAGUCUUCUUAGAGAAGCUAGGACACGACCAGAUCAUCUUCACAACACUAGUGAGGCUGAUCAAGAUUUCACACACGGCUUGCCCUCUUCAUAGAACUGGUUUGGAUCUCCCCCUC
rnacentral:lncRNA from 1 species